GAGCCUGUAGCGCAGCUUGGAUAGCGCGGCAGCCUCCUAAGCUGUAGGUCGUGGGUUCGAAUCCCACCAGGCUCG
rnacentral:tRNA from 1 species